AGCCGUCACCCUUUUGUGCCUUGCCCCAAGAGAAGAGAGGAAGAAAAAAGAAGAGAAGAGAGGGGAGAUGAGGGCAUACCGUCGCCCAUCAUCGUCGUUCCUCUCCAAGAAUUGGUUGGAUUUCCUUUCCUCUCUUUUUUAUCCACUUGAUGAAUGCUUUCCCUUGUUUUGGAUGAGUUUUAGGCCCUGUAAUUAGUUUUUUUGGUUAGAUUGGAUGGGAGAUUAGAUUUUAAUCUCGAAAUUAGUUUCUGCAGAAUGGCAGAUUCAAUAGUUUCUGUUCAUGCCAGUUUUCCGUGGUCUUAGUGGCCUCAAAAAAAUAAAAAGUCUGUCUAUGAGUCGUAGAUAAUUUGUAGAUCUUUCCGUGGCCGCAAAGAACACCUCGAUCGGAUAUCAGAUCAGAAAGUUAUUGCAGUUUGAUUAUAGCAGUUUUUCAGUCUCAUAAUUCUGUACAGAAUCUGUUCUCUUAAGCUUUAGGCAAUUUUAUCAACAGAAUUAAACUUUAGGAUUGUAAAAGAAGUUGUAGACAAUUUCAUAAGCUUUCCAGAUUGUUAAAGAGGGCAUUCAUAUGAAUUAUGAAAGUCCAGUUAUGUUUGUUUUACUGUGGCUGUUCCUGUUUGCGUGACAAAAAUGAGCGGGUCUGUUCACUGGUGGGUUUCAUAUAGUAAAUAGCCAAAUUGGCUGUUCCAACUAUGGAGACAUUUGUAGAGGGAUAAAAGUUCUUACUGCCAGCAGAAUUUCAUAAUUUUUGGUUAAGUAGUUUGGUAGAUAUUGAAUUUUGAAUUUAACUAUGCUGCUGUAUGAAACAGAUUCAGACAUUUAUCUUAUCAGAUGUUUUAGAACUUAUAGAUGGCAGAAUUUAAUUAUCCAUUGAAUACCGAAGUUAUAGAAUAUUUUGUGUAGACACUCAUAGAGUAUUUGUUUAAUAUCACCACUGUUAUAAUUUUAAAGAUACAAAAUUAACAAACAGCGUUGCUGUUGUUUGGCAUGUGGUUCAGGGUGGGAGUCUUUCCACCGGGAUUUGGUUUCAAGUGUACGAGCGAUUUGUUGAUUGUUAGCAAAUGUUUGUGAAAUAUUUGUACUAAUUUUUAUACCCGCUAGCAGGUGGCUACACUCUGGAUCAUGCCUAGUACAUCUUUCUUCUUCGAUGAAGGCAAGUGAAUGUAGCAGUGGUUGUUACCGUUUUGACUUGUUGUUUUUUUAUCGCCUACGCUCUAAUAUUCAGAAUUAUGGAAUUCUUUCAUAAUUGAACUCUAUGGUGAUGCUUUACUUGCUUGUAUUAUACUGAUGCUCAAUCAUAUAUUGAUGAUGAUUAUGGUUCGAGUAUGACCCAUGAGAUUAAUUUACACCCCUGAAGGCAGAUAAAGUAUUAUUUGAGAUUUGUAUUGUAUCUGAAGGCAGAUGAAGUAUUAUUUGAGGUUUGUUUUGUAUCUGAAGGAAGUGAAGUAUAUUGAUAAAUGCAGCAUGCCAUAUGCAUUACAUUAUUCAUUUACAUCUGAAGUUUGGUCGUGACCUAUGGUCCGACCGUACCGGUACAACUUAGCAUCGUACGUUGCCCGAGGAGGGGUACGAUGCGGCUUCAUACCCUUAGAGGUAUGAAGGCAGAGGACAUAUGCAUUGCAUUUAUAUGCAUUCAUUGAAGUGAUAUUAGCAGAUGAUGUGGUUUUAUACUCUCAGAGGUAUGAGGGCAGAUGACCUACACAUUGCAUUCCUAUGCAUACAUUGAAGUGAUAUCUGCAGGUAUUGUUGACGCAGGGAAGGGUUAUACAACCUAUUGUGGUCGUUCGAGGAAAUGAGAUGGUAUUGGUUAUAUUGGGACUGUUGAGUUCUAUAUCUACAAGUAUUUCUGAUCUCAAUCGGGAUUCCUUUAAAAUGUUGUUUAAUUCAAUUUGUGGUUUAAAUAUCUCGUCAAAAUAAUUUGCUUGCUGAGAUGUAUCAUCUCACUCUUGCAUUACUCAAUGCAGGUAUUUGAUUCAUGUUGGGAAUGAGGGAAGUAGCAGCACGUCCACCUUCACUAUUAUAAUAACGUUGUCCAGUUGCAGCCAUGAUUUAAUUAGAAACUCGAUGUCAAAUGAUGUUUGUUUUUUUCUAGUCGUGUGCACUGGUUAAUUCAAUUCAUGUUGUUAUGUUUAACUUUCCUUUGCUAGCAUAUUAAUAAUGCUUAGUAUGUUUUUUGUCAUGAUAUAUGUUUAUACACUGUUGCCCCUCGUUUAUGCAAUCUUUCAAAGGAGAUGCUGCCGAAAUUUUAUAUAUGGAUGUCAGAUGUGUAGUUCAGUAGCAUUCCGGGGUGUUUGUGGACUCUGGGGUGUUACAGUUGGUAUCAAAGCAUAGGCUUUAGAUUCUUGGCAAUUUGAAGAUAAAUUUGAUACACUUGCACAUAUAGGAAGGGUAUGGGUUCAAAUAUCUUUGAUAUAUAUUAGUGUCUUUGAAGUGCAGAUGACAAUAAUUUCACCCCUCCCUAUUCCUUUACGGUGAUGUGGUAAGUUGUUUAUGACUUAAUGCCUAAUAUGUUUUAUCUCUAAAUCUUUAUAUUGUUUUAUUAAUGCGAUUGAUAUCGCUGGUCUUUGGUAAGAUCGAAGUUGUUAUUAUGCUUGUGAUAUACAAGUAUGCCUAUGUUGUUUUCAUCAUGUUUUUCGUGGUUGAGUUUUAUUGCAAUAAUAUUGUUAUAUAUGUUUGAUUGUGGAUGUUCCUAAGAGGAGUGUGAAUUGCGUGUUUUGGGUUACAAGGUAACCAUCAAUUUGAAUUUAAGUUGUUGAGUGGUUGGUGGAUAGUUCCAACUAUUUUUGCAAAGAAUGAUUGUUUAUGUCGAGAAACCAGUUCUGAAAGAAAUGAAUAUUGAUACUUUUAUAUGAAUUUUUGGGAAGUCUUUACAUAGCCAGAAUGGCUUACAUGUCUCUCUUCUAUUGUGUGUUUUAGUAGCCACAAAGCCUAGAGGUGGUUUAAAGUGGUUGCAUGUUAGUCAUGCUAGUUGUAGAAUAAAUCUCUGUUUUUCUUGGUCCAUUGAUUAUGUAUUAAUACGUUGAGGAUCAGAUGGUUCUCUCCCCGAUGCAUGCUGGUGGAGACAUUAUUGGACCACCUAUCUAUUGGUUUGAAUGAAGUCAUUGCCUAGCCUAGAGUUGGUUGUGUGUGGUUAGUCACCUAUUCCUAAAUGAUGUGGUUUUUACAACAACUUGAGAUGUUUGUCAAAUGUGUGAAGGAUUACGGGGUUAUUAUUGACCUCGUAUAUCUGGUACUUUGAGUGCAUCAUAUGAUAGAAUGAAAUGUAAGUUUCUGAACUACAGUAGAUGAAGACUUAUAUUAUUUGUAGGUUAACCUUACUAGUUUGGUUAUUUUUCUUAGUUGAGUUGUUGGAUGAAGUAUAGCGACAUUGGUUAAGCAAGUAUUGUGUUGUUGUUGUGCUAUCAAUGCUCUUUGUGGAGUUUUUGGCAUUUCUUCGAUGAAAUGUGUCGCGCAGAAUGUUAUGGGCUUCUUGUCGGCUUUAUUGCUCCAUUAGUUCUGUAGACUUUCUCCCUUUUGUGGGGUGCAAAGAAUGUUAGAUUACAUGAUUAUCUUUUCAUGAUGGCAAGAACGGGGUUUAGGAAGAUUAGGAGUUUUGUUUCAAUAGAACUACUUGUUUUGUGGUGCUGUGAAGUGAGGUGUUUCAUCUUCAUUUACGUUCAUCUGGUGUGGAUGUUUUACCAUUGAAUUAAAAUGAAUUGUUCAAGUUGGUAAGGGUUGUGCUUAGUGCAUAUUACCCCUUCAUAAAAGAGUGUGGUUUUAAGACAUUGAUGCUGAUGUAUGGCUGCAUCCAAAUUCGAUGUUGUGAAAUCAUAGUGUUGAUCGCAUCUAUGACUUGCUUUGAGCUUCAUUGCAGGUUGUUUCAUGCUUGUUGUCAGGUUGUGUAGCUUCCUUAGACCAUUAGUCCGAGGUAGAAGUUCUUGUGUUGAUUAAUACCAAUAAUGGACUCAUGUUUUGAAUGGUGGUGCUAUUUGGGGUACCUUGGAUGUUUUGCUUGGAGUGGUCGAAUUCGAGGACGAAUUCUUUUUAAGGGGGUAAAAUGUAACACCCUAAAAAAUAAACCAUUUUUAUAAUCCAAAUAUGGUAUGUCCUAUGGAUGAUCGAAGUCCGUAGAUGUAUUGAUCUCAUCAAGAUGAUUCCGAUCAAUCACUAGUUUGCCUUGUUUGGAGUCCGGAUGAGUCUUUUUGAGUGCCGGUUGAUCUGAGCCAUUGAAUAUUAGGAUUGUGGAAGUUUUCUUCUAUUUAUACCUCCCUAACCCUAGAAGCCACGUCCUCCCACCCCUAGCAGCCGUCACCCUUUUGUGCCUUGCCCCAAGAGAGGAAGAAAAAAGAAGAGAAGAGAGGGGAGAUGAGGGCAUACCGUCGCCCAUCAUCGUCGUUCCUCUCCAAGAAUUGGUUGGAUUUCCUUUCCUCUCUCUUUUUUAUCCACUUGAUGAAUGCUUUCCCUUGUUUUGGAUGAGUUUUAGGCCCUGUAAUUAGUUUUUUUGGUUAGAUUGGAUGGGAGAUUAGAUUUUAAUCUCGAAAUUAGUUUCUGCAGAAUGGCAGAUUCAAUAGUUUCUGUUCAUGCCAGUUUUCCAUGGUCUUAGUGGCCUCAAAAAAAUAAAAAGUCUAUCUAUGAGUCGUAGAUAAUUUGUAGAUCUUUUCGUGGCCGCGAAGAACACCUCGAUCGGAUAUCAGAUCAGAAAGUUAUUGCAGUUUAAUUAUAGCAGUUUUUCAGUCUCAUAAUUCUGUACAGAAUCUGUUCUCUUAAGCUUUAGGCAAUUUUAUCAACAGAAUUAAACUUUAGGAUUGUAAAAGAAGUUGUAGACAAUUUCAUAAGCUUUCCAGAUUGUUAAAGAGGGCAUUCAUAUGAAUUAUGAAAGUCCAGUUAUGUUUGUUUUACUGUGGCUGUUCCUGUUUGCCUGACAAAAAAUGAGCGGGUCUGUUCACUGGUGGGUUUCAUAUAGUAAAUAGCCAAAUUGGCUGUUCCAACUAUGGAGACAUUUGUAGAGGGAUAAAAGUUCUUACUGCCAGCAGAAUUUCAUAAUUUUUGGUUGAGUAGUUUGGUAGAUAUUGAAUUUUGAAUUUAACUAUGCUGCUGUCUGAAACAGAUUCAGACAUUUAUCUUAUCAGAUGUUUUAGAACUUAUAGAUGGCAGAAUUUAAUUAUCCAUUGAAUACCGAAGUUAUAGAAUAUUUUGUGUAGACACUCAUAGAGUAUUUGUUUAAUAUCACCACUAUUAUAAUUUUAAAGAUACAAAAUUAACAAACAGCGCUGCUGCUGUUUGGCAUGUGGUUCAGGGUGGGAGUCUUUCCACCGGGAUUUGGUUUCAAGUGUACGAGCGAUUUGUUGAUUGUUAGCAAAUGUUUGUGAAAUAUUUGUACUAAUUUUUAUACCCGCUAGCAGGUGGCUACACUCUGGAUCAUGCCUAGUACAUCUUUCUUCUUCGAUGAAGGCAAGUGAAUGUAGCAGUGGUUGCUACCGUUUUGACUUGUUGUUUUUUUAUCGCCUACGCUCUAAUAUUCAGAAUUAUGGAAUUCUUUCAUAAUUGAACUCUAUGGUGAUGCUUUACUUGCUUGUAUUAUACUGAUGCUCAAUCAUAUAUUGAUGAUGAUUAUGGUUCGAGUAUGACCCAUGAGAUUAAUUUACACCUCUGAAGGCAGAUAAAGUAUUAUUUGAGAUUUGUAUUGUAUCUGAAGGUAGAUGAAGUAUUAUUUGAGGUUUGUUUUGUAUCUGAAGGAAGUGAAGUAUAUUGAUAAAUGCAGCAUGCCAUAUGCAUUACAUUAUUCAUUUGCAUCUGAAGUUUGGUCGUGACCUAUGGUCCGACCGUACCGGUACAACUUAGCAUCGUACGUUGCCCGAGGAGGGGUACGAUGCGGCUUCAUACCCUUAGAGGUAUGAAGGCAGAGGACAUAUGCGUUGCAUUUAUAUGCAUUCAUUGAAGUGAUAUUAGCAGAUGAUGUGGUUUUAUACUCUCAGAGGUAUGAGGGCAGAUGACCUACACAUUGCAUUCCUAUGCAUACAUUGAAGUGAUAUCUGCAGGUAUUGUUGACGCAGGGAAGGGUUAUACAACCUAUUGUGGUCGUUCGAGGAAAUGAGAUGGUAUUGGUUAUAUUGGGACUGUUGAGUUCUAUAUCUACAAGUAUUUCUGAUCUCAAUCGGGAUUCCUUUAAAAUGUUGUUUAAUUCAAUUUGUGGUUUAAAUAUCUCGUCAAAAUAAUUUGCUUGCCGAGAUGUAUCAUCUCACUCUUGCAUUACUCAAUGCAGGUAUUUGAUUCAUGUUGGGAAUGAGGGAAGUAGCAGCACGUCCACCUUCACUAUUAUAAUAACGUUGUCCAGUUGCAGCCAUGAUUUAAUUAGAAACUCGAUGUCAAAUGAUGUUUGUUUUUUUCUAGUCGUGUGCACUGGUUAAUUCAGUUCAUGUUGUUACGUUUAACUUUCCU
rnacentral:lncRNA from 1 species